GACGAACGCUGGCGGCGUGCUUAACACAUGCAAGUCGAACGGUGAAGCGCCUUCCUUUUUGGUGGGUGUGGAUGAGUGGCGAACGGGUGAGUAACACGUGAGUAACCUGCCCCCUUCUUCUGGAUAACCGCAUGAAAGUGUGGCUAAUACGGGAUAUUCUGGGUCUGUCGCAUGAUGGGUCUGGGAAAGAUAUUGUUUCGGUGGGGGAUAGGCUCGCGGCCUAUCAGCUUGUUGGUGGGGUGAUGGCCUACCAAGGCGGUGACGGGUAGCCGGCCUGAGAGGGUGGACGGUCACACUGGGACUGAGACACGGCCCAGACUCCUACGGGAGGCAGCAGUGGAGAAUAUUGCACAAUGGGCGCAAGCCUGAUGCAGCGACGCCGCGUGAGGGAUGGAGGCCUUCGGGUUGUGAACCUCUUUCGCCAGUGAAGCAGGCCUGCCUCGUUUGUGGGUGGGUUGACGGUAGCUGGAUAAGAAGCGCCGGCUAACUACGUG
rnacentral:rRNA from 1 species